rnacentral:antisense_RNA from 1 species
UUGCUCGCAUCGCUGUUGCGUCAUAGUUAAACAAAUUAAACCACGGCCAUGCGUGGCCAUAAAGUUAAUAGCUUCUGCGCUAAUAUGCUCGGCGGCAAUAAUUA